CUGAUACGGAACCAUAAUCUUUCUGUAUCUUGGGUGAAUCUGCAACAAAUCCUAACAUCGGAUGCUGCUAUCUGGAACCUCAGAUCCGACAAAAUCCAAAAAUAAGGAUUUUUUAUGGAUACGGAACCAUAUUCUGUCUUUAUUUUUCGUGUAGCCGACUGGAAAUCUGUAACAUGUAACAUAUCCGAAUGCUGGACGCUGCUAUCCCAAACAAUAAAUCUGACAAAAUCCGAAAACAAGGAUUUUUGACAGGUCUGGAGCCUUAUUUACAUUUGUAUUUGCCAUAAUCCAACAUACAGACUUAACAGAUAUUCUCACCCUGAUAUGUUUGCAUUUACCACAAAUACACACAGAUCUAACACAUGAACUUUGAUAAAAUGGUUUAUUAUGCAUCCGUAAGUUUCAUACACAAAUUACCGACUCGGUUAACGUUACACCCCAUACAUCAUCAUUCAAAGCUAUCACUACUCACUCCGGCGAGCUCGCUCAGAGUCUCCACAUUACUAGUUUCCUCCACCUCUCUUUGUCAUCCAUCAUUGCGGGAAGUUGCUGCAGGUCCAAACCGCUGUCUUAAGCAAGCUGCUUAAUGAUCCUUAAUGUAUGACUUCCGCGGUCUUCCCCUGCCUCUGUGUCCAAGCUCGAUUUCCAGCAUAUCUGUAUGUCACAUUUCCAAGUUCAGAACCAAUCCAAUGAAAUAUAAUACUGAGUCAGAAGUUGUGUGGCGAAGUAAUCAUUUUCCCUUUUAGGUAGGCUGAAUGACAUCCACAUCAUAGCAUCAUAGGGGGCUGAAACUGAUAAGCGACGACUAGCGGUCGUAUGUGUAAUGUAGUACUAUUGAGACCCGCCUGGUGGCGCUGUUGCAGGUCACCCAACCAACCGCCCGACAAGGACGCUUCGCCAUUUUGUGGUUCCUUCCACAUUCUCUCCUGAGCUUUGCUCAACUUUGUUGGGCUGGUUCUGACCGCAAGAAAACAAAGCUGCAGCUGCUUGUAAUCCUUGGGGAUUGAGGACCACUUUUGUCGGUGACAGGUACAGCAACGCAGACAUGGUGGUGAACGCAGUGCGGAGCGUGAUAAAGGACUACUGGGCCCUGUCAUUCCCCCUCGCAGGCGUCGUCUUCGGCUUGUGGCUCAACAACUACGAGUCCACGCACAUGCUGGGCACCUACAAGAACAAGAGCAAGCUGUUCCAUAGAGAGCUCAAGCCGGGGGAGAAGGAGCCAUGGUGACAGACUAGCAGGAUGUCGAAGAGACUUUAAUAUGAUCUAUGUGGUUAUUGUUGAAGACCAGAAAUGUGAUUUCCAAGCAUCUCCUAUAGUUGGUAAUACCUGUGUAUAACCACAGCCAAUCAACUUUAUGUAUGACAGUAUGUAAUAGAAAUAUCUCCUUUUCCUUUUAAAAACAUUACAACUAUGAGUCCCCAGCUGUUGGGAAAUGAAUGAACACAAACCAUGUUGAACAGUUUCUUCACAAAUACUAAUAGAUUUAUUUGUAAGACUAGACAUACUAUGUUCACACAACAUAACACAAUAAAAAUGUAAACACUG